rnacentral:lncRNA from 1 species
GUCUUAUAACCAAUAGAAAGUGUACCAACACGGACACAUUAUAUUUUCUUAUAAAAAAGGCAGUGGUUUGUAAAAAGAAAAGACUAUCAAGUUUUCCCCGAUUAAUUAUAGAUUUUUAAUGUUUUAACAAUGUUUUAGUUUUACUUCACAUAAUCAAUAAAGUUAUAAAAAUAGAUUUAUGAGUAUCUUAACAACAUUGGUUGUUACACUUCGAUCUUUUUGGUAAUAAGAAGGACCGGAGGUAUGUAGACUGGUUCCCGGUUGAUUACUACACAGAAAUCAUAAUAAAAGCAAAUUCAGUUUAAAUUAAAAUAGUAACUACGAAACCAACAGCGGUAGACGGAGAAAUGUAAUGGAAAGUAAA